GAACCCAACCUCAUAUCUCUCCUAUGAACCAGCCCCUCAGCCUCAAAAUCUAGGACAAUGUGCAAACCCAACAGGCAGUAGCAUCCACCAAGCAGGAGUGGUAUGUUUGCAUGGCUCUUGGCCCAGAUUAUCUGAGAGAACAGAGCAGUCAUAAAAUAGAAGAGAACAGAGAAAAAUCCUAUUGAUUUCAGCUUUUCCAGGAUGUCAGUUAAGUUAGACCAAAGAGUGUAAACUCAUUUGAGGAAAUCUCUCAAUAAGGGAUUAAUUGUUGACAAAAUAAAUGACCACGGGGUGUGUUCUUUCUGGCUGCAAGGAAUAAAAAACCCAACUUGUCUAUCAAAAAGUGUGUUCCUGAUGAUUUGGCUUAAGGGAAUUGAUACCAGCUUUCCGGAAAUGAGUGGCUGUAAAAACCCAGCCUCAGGAAGAAAGGUUAUGUUCUCUGUGAUAUACCUAGGCUCUGGAACUCCAGAACUUAUUUUUACCCUUAAA